rnacentral:snRNA from 1 species
AGGGUAAAAGCUCGUUUG